rnacentral:rRNA from 1 species
UACGAAGGGAGCUAGCGUUGUUCGGAAUCACUGGGCGUAAAGAGCGCGUAGGCGGCUAUGUAAGUCAGGGGUGAAAUCCCAGGGCUUAACCUGGGAACUGCAUUUGUGACUGCAUGGCUAGAGUUUGGCAGAGGGGGGUAGAAUUCCACGUGUAGCAGUGAAAUGCGUAGAUAUGUGGAGGAACACCGAUGGCGAAGGCAGCCCCCUGGGUCAAGACUGACGCUCAUGCACGAAAGCGUGGGGAGCAAACAGG